UACGAGAAUCCCGAGCUUGCUUGGGAGAGUAAAGUGGCGCACGGGUGAGUAACGCGUGGGUAACCCACCUUCGAAUUUGGGAUAACUCCGCGAAAGCGGUGCUAAUACCGGAUAAGACCACAGCCGUUUCGGCGGCAGAGGUAAAAGCUGACCUCUCCAUGGAAGUUAGCGUUCGAAGACGGGCCCGCGUCCUAUCAGCUUGUUGGUGGGGUAAAGGCCUACCAAGGCAGCGACGGGUAGCUGGUCUGAGAGGAUGAUCAGCCACACUGGAACUGGAACACGGUCCAGACUCCUACGGGAGGCAGCAGUGAGGAAUUUUGCGCAAUGGGGGAAACCCUGACGCAGCAACGCCGCGUGGGUGAAGAAGGCUUUCGGGUCGUAAAGCCCUGUCAGGUGGGAAGAAACUCUUCAGCACUAAUAAUGCUGAAGCCUGACGGUACCACCAGAGGAAGCACCGGCCAACUCCGUGCCAGCAGCCGCGGUAAUACGGAGGGUGCAAGCGUUGUUCGGAAUUAUUGGGCGUAAAGAGCGUGUAGGCGGCUUGGUAAGUCAGAUGUGAAAGCCCUGGGCUCAACCCAGGAAGUGCAUUUGAAACUACCAGACUUGAGUACGGGAGAGGAGGGGGGAAUUCCCGGUGUAGAGGUGAAAUUCGUAGAUAUCGGGAGGAAUACCGGUGGCGAAGGCGCCCCUCUGGACCGAUACUGACGCUGAGACGCGAAAGCGUGGGGAGCAAACAGGAUUAGAUACCCUGGUAGUCCACGCCGUAAACGAUGAGCACUAUGUGUAGCGGGUAUUGACCCC
rnacentral:rRNA from 1 species